AGCAACAGGAACUCGAUCAGAGACAAAUGUGGCUGUGGGUAUGUGUUUAGUGUGACUAUUUACUCAAACAUGAACCAAGCUUUUAUUGUUGCUCUCAUCUCAUUGUUGUUUUUGAAGAUAUCAACAAAGAAAAGAAAGUUUAGCAUUUUAAUGUUUCACUAUCUACUCAAACAGGGACCAGACAUUUAUUGUUGCUUCUCCGAUCAUCUCCUGUGGCAUGUCGUGGCUUUCUCCUUUGUUUUUUGGCAAACAGCAAAACACCCUGCUAUCACUGACACUGCCCACCAUUUCCUCUGAUUCACAAUCCUUGGAAUUCUAACUUUUUUAUUUUUAGUUGAUUUUUUUAUUUUUUAAGGUUUCUCAUGAUUCCAAAGUUUUGGUUUUUCUCAUCUUGUUGUGUUGAACCCACUAAAAUUUAUUUGUUACUUGUUAGCAUAAUGGUUCGUGUGAAAAUUUUCAGUUGUAUUAGGAUCAUUGACAAUGCGGGCAGUGAGCUUUUUGUUUUUGGAUAUGAAUUAUGUUUUUUUUUCUAUUGAACCUUUGUUGGGAUGUUUGAUGUGAAAUGUGAUUCAUGAUUUUUUUCUCUGGGUGUAAUCUAACUGAUGAUUUUUACAAGAAAUGGUCGCAGAUGAAAAUUCCCCAUUGAUCAAGAAGUUCGAAGGUGUUUAUGUUGGCUGAGUUUAACUUUCCUAGAGAUUUAAUUGAAUCAAAACCCAUUGAAUCAGCCCAAGGAAAAACCAGCAAGGACUAGUAAAGAGGCUUCAUAUGCAGAUAGAGAAAAGAAAUGAUAGCACCAGUUUUCAUGGGAAUAUCUAAGCUCCCAAUCAAAGUUUGCAUAUAAGAAUCUGUGCAUGUGUAUACUAAGGCACUCGGCAAGCUUCACCGUGACAACAUGAUCCAGAACCACAAAAGUGCUGAAGCUUAACACAUCAGGUUCUAGUCUAAAAAGGGAGUACCAGAACAAAAACUACGAGCACACCUAGGUUCUUUUGGUGUCUCAGGCUAUCUUGCACUUCAACCAAUGUAUACUUUGUCAGGACUUGAACGCAGCUGAGACACUUAUCCAAGGCCUAGUCAUUUUUCAAGGAGGGUUCUGAUGUUGAGCCAUGAUGAUCACUUGAUAUUGCCAUGUUUAUGUUUCAAGAUGGACAACAAGACUAUACAAACUUGUCAUUCUACUUCAAUGUAAAAUGAAUUGGAUUUUGUUCUAUUAGAUGUUUUGACUAUUAUAUUUUAUAUUGGAUUGUUAUUUUGAAAA